rnacentral:tRNA from 1 species
GCCGGGAUGGCGGAAAGGAAGACGCAACGGACUUAAAAUCCGUUGGGAGUUUUCUCCCGUGAGGGUUCGAAUCCCUCUCCCGGCA